rnacentral:rRNA from 1 species
GAUCAUGGCUCAGGAUGAACGCUAGCUACAGGCUUAACACAUGCAAGGUCGAGGGGCAGCAUAACGAAAGCUUGCUUUGUUGAUGGCGACCGGCGCACGGGUGAGUAACGCGUAUCCAACCUUCCCUAUAGUAGAGAAUAGCCCGGCGAAAGUCGGAUUAAUGCUCUAUGUUCUUCUUUGAUGGCAUCUGACGAGAAGCAAAGGUUCACCGCUAUAGGAUGGGGAUGCGUCUGAUUAGGUAGUCGGCGGGGUAACGGCCCACCGAGCCAUCGAUCAGUAGGGUUCUGAGAGGAAGGUCCCCCACAUUGGUACUGAGACACGGACCAAACUCCUACGGGAGGCAGCAGUGAGGAAUAUUGGUCAAUGGGCGAGAGCCUGAACCAGCCAAGUAGCCGUGCAGGACGACUGCCCUAUGGGUUGUAAACUGCUUUUAUAGGGGAAUAAAGUGAGGUACGUGUACCUUUUUGUAUGUACCCUAUGAAUAAGGACCGGCUAAUUCCGUGCCAGCAGCAGC